UAUGGCUUAACCAUAGUUAGCAUUUGAAACUGUAUUACUUGAGUGCAGGAGAGGUAAGUGGAAUUCCUAGUGUAGCGGUGAAAUGCGUAGAUAUUAGGAGGAACACCAGUGGCGAAGGCGACUUACUGGACUGUAACUGACGCUGAGUCACGAAAGCGUGGGUAGCAAACAGGAUUAGAUACCCUGGUAGUCCACGCUGUAAACGAUGAGUGCUAGGUGUUGGGUAGCGAUAUUCAGUGCCGAAGUAAACACAAUAAGCACUCCGCCUGGGGAGUACGGUCGCAAGACUGAAACUCAAAGGAAUUGACGGGGACCCGCACAAGCAGCGGGGCAUGUGGUUUAAUUCGAAGCAACGCGAAGAACCUUACCAAGGCUUGACAUCCCCUUGACCGGCACAGAGAUGUGCCCUCUCCUUCGGGAGCAAGGGUGACAGGUGGUGCAUGGUUGUCGUCAGCUCGUGUCGUGAGAUGUUGGGUUAAGUCCCGCAACGAGCGCAACCCUUAUCCUUAGUUGCCAGCAGGUUAAGCUGGGCACUCUAAGGAGACUGCCGAUGAUAAAUCGGAGGAAGGUGGGGAUGACGUCAAAUCAUCAUGCCCCUUAUGUCUUGGGCUACACACGUGCUACAAUGGUCGGUACAAAGGGCAGCGAAGGAGUGAUCUGGAGCGAAUCCCAAUAAACCGAUCCCAGUUCGGAUUGUAGGCUGCAACUCGCCUACAUGAAGUCGGAGUUGCUAGUAAUCGCGAAUCAGAACGUCGCGGUGAAUGCGUUCCCGGGUCUUGUACACACCGCCCGUCACACCAUGGAAGUUGGUAAUACCCAAAGUCGCUGAGCUAACCGCAAGGGGGCAGGCGCCUAAGGUAGGAUCAAUGACUGGGGUGAAGUCGUAACAAGGUAGCCG
rnacentral:rRNA from 1 species